ACCACUUACUGUAUGUGCCGUUUCAAUUUAUGCCACAAAUUGUGUAAUUUUGACACAUAGUACACAAUCCCUUUCAAUUCACUGUCUCUUAAACAUAUAUGCCACCACUGUGACCUGUUUCUCUCACCAUUUUACAGACAAUGACAAAGCCCUCAUUGGUUUUCUGGUCUUCUUCGUCAUCAUUGCUUUUGUGACCUUGGUUCUGGCGGCCUACAAGAUCAACCAUUACAGAAAGUCCAAAAAUGAUGUGAGAGGGGAUGUGAUGCUUAAACCGACAGAAACUGAAGCACUUUAUGUCAAUGUACCUCGAUAUAAAAACCGUCAUAAGGACACACUCUGAAGAAAGACCUGAUGCAAAACAAAUCAUUAUCAAUCAUCAAUACCUUGCUAGACAGAGCUCUAAAAUGUUGUUUUAAGUGCUUUUUUGUUUGUUAGAAAAUACAUACUUUUUUUUCAGUUUUUUAAUGUACACUUUGUGGCACUGUUCUUCACUCAUUCAAAUUGUAAUUUCAGUGGCAUGAGAUGGGGAAAAAAAAAAAAAAAAAAAAAAAAAUGUUACAUACAUUACAAGUUUUAGUUCCCGACCAUAAAGGGGGUUUUGAUCAUCUUGCAAACCAAGCAUGUAGGGCUAAUAGUCGUAAAGCUAUGAAAAGUUUAUCAAACAGUAUCAUUUAAGCUGACUUUAUUUUAAAAUGCACGCUUUGUCAUUUACAGCUUUUAUAUCAUCAUAACCUGCGUUUUAUUGUCCCAUUAAGAUCAUGUCAUAGUGUCCAUUUAUAUUUUUCUGACCAGUUGUACACUUGCCAAACAUCACCCCCUCAGAAAAUAAAGUAAUUGCUGCCUAACAUUCAUACUUCUGGCAACAAAUUCUAUAGGUGA